CACAAAGGAGAGGGGGGCCAGUUUGGAGAGAAAAAAAGAAAGAAAAGAACAAACCCUAAAUCUAUCUCUUCUCCAAGCAGCCGCCGCAGCCCCCUUUCCCUCUGAUUUUUUUUCCUUCUUCCUCUCCCCCAGCCGCUGACCAACACCGACCAGCCUUCUCCCCUCAGCCACAACACCCACCUUCCAACUCCACCCUCACGGACCAAAAGCCUCAGCCCCACAGACCACCUCGUGGUCUCUCUUUCCCCCCUAUCACUGUCCCCCGCCACUUACCAAAACCGUUGCAUUUUCCUUCAUCUUCUCCAAAACACAGAGCCCCUCACCUCACCAGAACCAGCCCCCACACUGCCUCCUCUCCUUUUCUCUCCACAGAUCCUCCCUCUCAGCAGCUCCCUCUACCCUCCGCGGCCUUCAUUCCCUCCGGCUCCUCCCCACUUGGCGAAACAAAAUAGCUGCAGCAACCCCGGCUUGGAAUUUUUUGGCCUCCACACUGUAGCCCCAUCUCCUUCCUCCUCUCGAGAAACAAACAAACCAAACAGCCGCCCCCUGGUUUUGAUUUUCUUCUCCAGCCGACCGACCGGCCGCCAUCACAGGCCGCCACCACCGACAGGGGUGAAGACCAUCCAGCAGCACGCCCACCGAGCCAUCAGCGCCGUCCACACCGUCAGACAGCAGCGCCGCCACAGAUCCACCGUCGCCCGAUCUGCCACCCAAAACAGAGGAGAAGACGGCGAAGCCCCAAUAACAGACCUGAGAAAGAAGAAAGUGAAGCAGAUAAGGAUGGAAAGCAGAGGAAAACAGAUCUAAAAAAUUAACUAAAACAGACUGCCUGUGCGUUUUCUUUUGGUUGCAGGUGACGGUGAUCUUCACCGAAGUGUCCCUCUUCAACCCCUGGAGUUUUAGGGUCCACGCGCCGCCAGUGGAGGCGGCGCGUUCGGGGACGCGCCGCACUGUUCCAGUACUGUUCAUGCAGUUCCAGAAGCGUUCCUCUGCAAUUCCUGGAGUUUUAGGGUCUAUUUUGUAAAUUUUAAAUUGUUAAUGUAAUUUUUGUUUAGUUGUUUUGAAUUUAUAUUUUGUAUUGUGGAUGUAAAAAAAAAAAGGAAAAAAGAAAAGGAAAAAAGAAUAAUACAGUAAAACGUAUUUGUUUAAUUUAUGGUUUUUUGUCUUUUUUUUAUUAUUUUUAUGAUAAAAUUGCAAAGAGUGAGAAGAAUUUAAUAUUUUAAUUUGCUCAGGAAUAAAGAAUUAUGAAUUUAUAGGAAAUUGUAUUUUUAAAAUUUGAUAAAAUAAUAGAAUUUUU
rnacentral:lncRNA from 1 species